rnacentral:rRNA from 1 species
GUGGGGAAUCUUAGACAAUGGGCGCAAGCCUGAUCUAGCCAUGCCGCGUGAGCGAUGAAGGCCUUAGGGUUGUAAAGCUCUUUCGUGGGGGAAGAUAAUGACUGUACCCCAAGAAGAAGCCCCGGCUAACUCCGUGCCAGCAGCCGCGGUAAUACGGAGGGGGCUAGCGUUGUUCGGAAUUACUGGGCGUAAAGCGCACGUAGGCGGACCAGAAAGUCAGAGGUGAAAGCCCGGGGCUCAACCCCGGAACUGCCUUUGAAACUCCUGGUCUUGAGGUCGAGAGAGGUGGGUGGAAUUCCGAGUGUAGAGGUGAAAUUCGUAGAUAUUCGGAGGAACACCAGUGGCGAAGGCGGCCCACUGGCUCGAUACUGACGCUGAGGUGCGAAAGCGUGGGGAGCAAACAGGAUUAGAAACCCGGGUAGUCC